rnacentral:rRNA from 1 species
UAAUACCAGCUCUCCGAGUGGUAGGGAUGAUUAUUGGGCUUAAAGCGUUCGUAGCCGGCCCAGCAAGUCUUUCGUUAAAUCCAGCGACCUAAUCGUUGGCCUGCGGGAGAUACUGUUGGGCUAGGAGGCGGGAGAAGCCGACGGUAUUCUUGGGGUAGGGGUGAAAUCCAGUAAUCCCAGGAGGACCACCAGUGGCGAAGGCGGUCGGCUAGAACGCACUCGACGGUGAGGGACGAAAGCUGGGGGAGCGAACCGGAUUAGAUACCCGGGUAGUCCCAGCCGUAAACGAUGCGGGCUAGGUGUUGGUGAGGCUACGUGCCUCUUCAGUGCCGCAUGGAAACAAUUAAGCCCGCCGCCUGGGGAGUACGGUCGCAAGGCUG